rnacentral:rRNA from 1 species
CAGCUAGUUGGUGAGGUCAUGGCUCACCAAGGCGACGACGGGUAGCUGGUCCGAGAGGAUGACCAGCCACAUUGGGACUGAGACACGGCCCAGACUCCUACGGGAGGCAGCAGUGGGGAAUAUUGCGCAAUGGGCGAAAGCCUGACGCAGCGACGCCGCGUGUGGGAUGACGGCCUUCGGGUUGUAAACCACUGUCGCGAGGGACGAAGAUCUGACGGUACCUCGAAAGGAAGCACCGGCUAACUCUGUGCCAGCAGCCGCGGUAAUACAGAGGGUGCGAGCGUUGUCCGGAAUCACUGGGCGUAAAGGGCGCGUAGGUGGCCUGGUAAGUAGGGGGUGAAAUCUCGAGGCUCAACUUCGAGGCUGCCUCCUAAACUGUCAGGCUUGAGCAGAGUAGAGGCAGGUGGAAUUCCCGGUGUAGCGGUGGAAUGCGUAGAGAUCGGGAAGAACAUCGGUGGCGAAAGCGGCCUGCUGGGCUCUUGCUGACACUGAGGCGCGACAGCGUGGGGAGCAAACAGGA